CUGGAGAGGAGGUCUGUGCUGCUACGUCUGUGUGUUUGUCUGCAAUUUCUUUCCUAUUUGCACAUGUAAACAUACACACUUCUCCAGUCUUUCUAGAUUUGAGUAACAGUGGGUUUUUUUAUUUUUUUUUUUCCCCUGAGUAAUACUGGAGAGUGCACUCCCCACAUUUCAACACUUCUGCAUUCAUUUCAAUGAUCACUUUAGCGUGACCUACUCCCUUUACCUAUUUCCUCCUGUGAGCCUGGCCAAGAUGAAUUUGAGACACUUCUGGGAGACUCUGGUAUUUAGAGAAUUGGUGCUGAGCACUUUUGGAAGGUUUCCUUUGCAAUGUAAGUAAGCUAUUAACAAAACGCUCAAAGCACUGCAGAAGGUGUCCAAGUAUUAAAACACACAACGUCCUCUGCAAAUUUGAUGCAGCAGCGGAGAUCACUGGAAGUCAUAAUAACAUCAGGUGUAUUAGUCAAGAAUGACAAAGAAGGCCGUUAAACGUGGGUCUGGAUAACUACACUGUGUAUGCGUGUGCUUGCAUGUGAAUUUAUAUACUCCGUUCACGUUGCUUAUAGGAGGAAAGCUGUUUGGUUUGAUGUUAAAUUCUACUUAAAAAUCGUCAAUAUUUAUUUAGUUGUUACGUCCUGAAGCCUCUCUCAUACUGCUGAAGGGUUUGCAAAGGUCUUCAGUAAUUUCACUGGGCUUUACAUGCAGCUUAAACCUGAAGACUCCAUAGAACUUUUAGCAUCUAUCUUCUAGCCACCUUUUUCUUGAGCUUGCAAAUGGGUGGAAAGCUAAAUGAGUUCUUUUAGAACUUUAUUAGCCUUUCCCUUAGAAUGUGAGACAGAUAGAUGCAUUUUUAGAUAAUACUUGACCAGUGCUGCUUCUGGAACUGCUGAUUUUAGUAAACAUUGACGACUUUGUCUCUUUAGUCUCCUGUAAAAGCCCCUUCAUAAGUAUCAAUGGAAAGAGUGCUCCUGCAAACUGCUUGCACUGAUUAAAAGAGGAAUAGAGAGCUUAGAGCAAACGAGGCUUUACUUGUAAACAAAAGCACACCUGUGUUUAAACUGAGAAAGCCUUUGUGUUUCUUGAUCUCUGCAUUCCUUUUAUUGUGCUCCUCUUUUAACACCGCAAACUUCUUUCUUUUUAUUACGAUCAGGAUUCAAACGCCUUUGCAUCUUGUCAUCUGGCCUCUGGAGUUGAGGGUGACAUAAACGGUAUACGGCUGCUAAAUGUCACGCAGGCUGAGGUGUCAGCGGAGCACAACUGAGAGCUCUGGAAUUCAAAUCAGGACCCUUGUUGCUGUGAUGUGCUGGGAGAAUCAUAGAAUCAUAGGAUGGCCUGGGUUGAAAAGGACCACAAUCAUCAUCUAGUUUCAACCUCCCUGCUAUGUGCAGGGUCACCAACCACCAGACCAAGCUGCCCAGAGCCACAUGCAGCCUGGGUGAACCCCUGCUCCAUCCCAAACCUGCGCAGGCUGCCACAGGUUUUCCUCUGCGCAAAGGCUCCUGAAAACAGGCUUUGUAUGGUACCCGUAAUUGAAGAGGAGAAAUCUGAGAUUUCUGCAGGCAUUUAAGGACAUAUGUAUAGGAUUUAGCAGUGCUAUUGAGUACUUAUAUUCAGGAGAGUGGCUUGGGAGGUCCUUAAGAACCUGAUCUGAUGCUCACCAAGGAAAUCUGUUGCUGGAAGGAGUGUGAGUUCCAACCAGGGGACCCAGCCUGGGACUGUCACUGCUUGCUGGAGGGACUGCCUGAAAUAAUUAACGGUUCAUACCAUUGUUACUUUGGGCAGUUCUGUCAUUCCUUUAUGAUGUGGCAACUUCUUAUUUUUUCCCCAGGAAAGAAAGAAAAGACUAAAUUGUAGAGGACUAAUCUUUUCCCCCCUCUCUGCGCUUUAAGUGGUGAAUUGUUGGCUUCCAUUGAUAUUGGCAGUCAUGUAGAAAGUGGUUGCAAAAGACAGAAAGAAAGUGUAACUUCAGGGCUUUUCACUCACAGAUGAAGUAGUUGGUUCGCUGGCCAAAACUGUCUUCACUCCUGAAAGGAAAAUGUAUUAGAAGAGAAAUUCAUCCCCUGCAUAUUGCCAGUGCUGCUCUGCUUGGAGAGAAAACUCCAUCAAUACAACUCCCAUAAAGGCAGAUCUCUGCCAAAUAUCAUUUGGAGAUGCCACAGGAUGUGGGAAUUGGCCGCUCAUUAGAGAUGCUGAGAUUUCUCUCUCUAGAAGGGCAGCCUUCCAGCCUAUGGGUAUUAAUGGGUGAUAUACAUGUGUAUGUGGGUAAAAUUCAGCUCCCAGACAUACUACAAGGUGAGCUGAUCCAGCAAACUGCAGUGAAUGUUGUUCCAUCCCUCCACAGACUUUUUACCUGGUGCCAAACAUUUGCAGUUUGAACAUCUAUCGUACUGGUAGCACUGUCUUGUAUCAACUGAUAACUCAGAGACAGUAUAGAAAAUAUACUGCUCCAUACUACCCAGUUAUUAUUUAUUUAUUUUAUAUAUAUACAAUUAAAGAUAACAAAUAUGCAUCAUUUAUAUUAUGGUGUUUGGUUGAUGCUUCAAAAUGAAGGUAACGUCUCCCUAGAUUACAGUUAGUACAACUUUUAAAACAACUAAAAAGUAACGUUCUAGAAAAUACAGGCUAAAUAUGAGAACUAUAACAUCAGAAUCUGCUGUUUGUUUUUCUUUUGAAUAUAUCUCCUAGAAUUAGAAAAUGUAUAUUUACCCUCUUAUGAGCCUAUGGAAUAAAGAUUCCCAUUUCCAGGAUAGAUAGCACAGAAAGGCAGCAGGAACUGAGAGCGGUUUGGGAACAUGAUCUCAGAGCUACCAUACAGCAGACAGUUUUUAAUAUUGAAACAAAGUACAGACAGUUAGUUGCAAACCAGCAGUAUAAAACCAGCUAAACAGUGGGUAUAUGGGUGCACUGCGCUACCCGGCGCAUAACUGUGUGGCAAAGGGUAAAAGGUGAUUUGCGCUACGAAAUUAAAAAGGCCUGUUGAAAUAUUAAGCUGCUCUGUGAAGGGUAAUAUCCUAAAUGUGGAGAGUUUAUGCAUACCGAAGCCCAGCUACAGGAAUUGCCACAGGAACUGGGCAGCAUCGGCUCAAUUCAGCCCACAGAGUUUGGUCUGGAGAGAAGUGAUGCUGACUUCACCUGCAGCGGUGGCUCCAAACAACGUGCAGAUUGUCUGAUGAGGGUUUGGAUUUCUCACGCCGCUUUGCAUAUCAGAGCUGCUUAGAACUGCGUUUAGAACUUUAAAUGGGGAGAUUGAUUUUCUGAUGAAGUCUGGGGGGACAUUUCUCAACCGAGUUAAAUGAAAAGGAAAUAAAUUUGGAGAAAAUGAAUUUGUGAAGGAGGCUUGUUUGCCUUUAUCCCUCCCCCCCCCCCAUUCGCUUUAUAAUUUUCCUUGUUUCCUGUGGUCCUUAUGAACCACCACCCAAGUGCAUGCCCAGCAGCUCGAUGCCAUCUAC
rnacentral:lncRNA from 1 species